AUGAGACAUAGAUCACCACCUGCGGAAGCCUGGCCUGCAGACCCUGACUCGCGAUGGGUGAAUGAAGACAGAAUUUCACCCUGUCACCCAGGCUGGAGUUCUGUGGUGCGGAUCUUGGCUCACGGCAACCUCUGCCUCCUGGGUUCAAGCGAUUCUCCUGACCCUGUCAGGGGGAAGCAAGAGGAGACCCUGCUGGCAUCACCAGUGAAUCUGGGUCAAGCCAUACCUGAAGCCAGUCAAGCCAGUGCCCUCUGCAUUUUAGGAGCUAAAGCCCCUUGGUGGGAGAAGCCAUCCUUGCUCUGGGGCAGAUGCCUGCAGAUACCUCAGCCUUGGUUGCUCUUAAUUCCAGCAAGACAGGACUCCCACUCGGAAGUUUUCUUUACUGUGAGUGGGACUUUGGAUAAUUUCACAGAGAACUCCAAACUCUCACGCCUCUGUGUGACCUUGAUCAAGUUCAUUGACCUCUCUGUGUUUCACUUUUCCCAUCCAUAAAAUGAAGUGGGUGGAUCAGACCAGCACUAUAAUAGAAAUGGAAUUUGAGCCACAUACAGAAUUUGAAGUUUCCUAGAAGCCAUAUUUAGAAAAGAAAUAGGUAAAAUAUUUUAGUAAUACAUUUUAUUUAACUCAAUAUAUCCACAAUAUUGAUAUAACAUGGACUCUAGGUAAGUUACUAAUGAGACAUUUUGCAAUUUUUUUUUUGACAUAGAGUUUCACUCUUGUUGCCCAGGCUGGAGUGUGAUAGCGUGAUCUUGGCUCACUAUAACCUCCGCCUCCUGGGUUCAUGCAAUUCUCCUGCCUCAGCCUCCUGAGUAGCUGGGAUUACAGGCAUCGACCACUACACCCAGCUAAUUUUUGCAUUAUUAGUAGAGACGAGGUUUCAUCAUGUUGGCCAGACUGGUCUUGAACUCCUGACCUCAGGUGAUCCACAUGCCUUGGCCUCCCAAAGCAUUGGGAUUACAGGUGUGAGCCACUGAACCAGGCCCAUUUUGUAAUUUUUUGUUGUACUGAGCCUUCAAAGUCUGAUUGUGUAUUUUACACCUGAAGCAUAUCUCAGUUUGGACCAGUCACAUUUCCAGGGCCACGAUAACCACGUAUGUUUAGUGGCUGCUACUGUUGCGGCUAGUGCCAGAAUAGACAGACGGUUUCACACUUUUUAAUUCUGUUUUAAGCAACAGGACUAUUCUUUGAAUUGUGACUUUGUUCAGAGUCCCGUCAUGCAAAUGGACAGAAAAGGGCUUCUCUGAGUGGCCAGGGUCUUGUUCAGCCUCUUCCUCUCUCCUGUCCCCAACACUGGUCCCCAGCAGCCUGAGUGUCCUCACCCUAUGCAGGGCUCCCAGGAACACUGUUUGGAAAUCACUGUUCUCAGCGACCUGCAAGGGCCCUGACUGUUUAAACGUAGAGAAAUGUAGAUACAGAGAAAGGUGGGGAUUUUUCUCUCCCAAACUCCACUUUGGUUGAGCAAGAAAACUCUGGAAAUCUAUUUGUAUGCAUUCAUUCAUUGAAUGAGUCAGCCUGGGAUAGGCUACGCCGCAUUAACAAAUGAGUCUGUAACUCUCAGUGGCUUAAUGCCCUGUUGCUUUCUUUCUCAUGAAGGGCUUAACACAAGUGGGAAGCUCUCCGGGGUGGUAUCCUCCAUACGGUGACUCAGGGACCCAGCCAGACCACUUUCAUGUUUUCCAGUGAGGAGGAGGAGGAGAGAGCUGGCCAUGGCCUGGUUGUGCAUACCACCCUAUCCCAUUGGGCAGAGCUCAGAAACUUACCUUAGUGCAAGGGGCGCUGUGGGUUGGAGUAUUCCUGGGACUGGGAAGAGGAGGGACGCUUCCAGCGAGGGGCCCUGCCCGCCCCAGGGCCUUUGCCCAUUCUCUCUCCUCUGCUUGGAAUGCUCUUCCUUUCCCUUUUCUGCAGAUUAAGUUCUGCUUAUCUCUGGCUAGAUGCGGUGGUUCACACCUGUAAUCCCAGCACUUUGGGAGGCUGAGGUGGGUGGAUCACCUGAGGCCAGGUGUUUGAAACCAGCCUGGCCAACAUGAUGAAACCCCAUCUCUACUAAAAACACAAAAUUUGGUUGGGCAUGGUGGCUGAAGCCUGUAAUCCCAGCUCCUCAGGAGGCUGAGGCAGGAGAAUCACUUGAACCCAGGAGGCAGAGGUUGCAUUAAGCCCAGAUCGUGCCAUUGCACUCCGGCCUGGGUGACAAGGCGAGACUCGGUCUCAAAAAAAAAAAAAAAAAAAAAAAAAAUUCUGCUUAUCCUAGGUCAAAUGUCACUUCCUCAGGGAGGGUAGGGGCCCGGGGGCCAGGCAGAGCUGGGUCCUGCAGGCACAGUCACCCACCACACAUGGCAGGCUCACUUGGGCAAGGAAACUGAAGGGUUGCCCUCGGGAGGUACAAGGACGUGAUUUGCAUUUGAAAACAAUCUCCUGGACCGGAUGGAGAGCUGAUAAUGAUACUUCUAUUUUUAAGAAAGGCCAACUCUCUCAGUGCCCCAAGGGAAGUGCAACUCUGCGUGAUGUCAGCUUUGAUGAACAAUCUUGUCUCCACCGAAAUGUUGUACGGAUGCCCCAGGACAAGGCUGAUACAUUAUUCAGCCUCACAGCUGUCUGGGCGGAGGGACCCCGGCUGUUUCCUCAUGAGCUGCCUUUGCUAGGCCAGGGCCCGAAGAGGAGCCCGGGGAGGCCAGUGCUGACAGGGAGCAGAGACUGAGGCAGCCUUGAGUCUUCUCGGCUUUUUAGCCAAGGGCCUGAGCCCCGUCACUUCUUUUGUGUUCAUGGACCUUAAUGAAUACUGACGGCGGGUGGCCCAGGCCCUGAGCCACAGACGGGAGUCAGAAACAAUCCAGAGCUAUCUCAGUGUGAGGUGGGGACUGGUGUGCAGACAGCUCAAUAGCAGCAGGUAGACAGAGCAACAAGGGGGCAUGGGAGCCCAGGUCAGGAAUGACAGCCAGGUGGGGAAUGCAAGAAAGGGCAUGUCCAAGCUGGGUUCUAAAGGAUGAGUAGGAGUUCGCCAGGUGGAGGAGGUUACUGAAAGACAUCCCUGGCAGGGACCAGCAGGGGCCAAGCUCUGGAGGGUUGCAAGGGCACAGGGCAUGGGCAUGAGCGGGACAGGAUGUGGGAUGGCAAAGCUAAGCAGGGGCUGGAUCCUGGAGAGCUUUGAACGUCCACGUGCCUGAAGGUGACCCAGACUGAGCUUGAGUUGAAAAAGACAGGCUGGCUGCCAUGGCUCAUGCCUGUAUUCCCAGCACUUUGGGAGGCUGAGGUGGGUGGAUCACCUGCAGUCAGGAGUUUGAGACCAGCCUUGACAAUCUGGUGAAACCCCGUCUCUACCAAAAAUGCAAAAAUUAGCCAGGUGUGGUGUUAGACACCUGUAAUCCCAGCUACUUGGGAGGCUGAGGCAGGAGAAUCAUUUGAACCCGGGAGGUGGAGUUUGCAGUGAGCUGAGAUUGCGACACUGCACUCUAGCCUGGGUGACAGAGCGACCCUCUGUCUCAAUAAAAAAAGAAAAAGACAUGGCCUGCCCUCA
rnacentral:lncRNA from 13 species